AUUCCAGUUGAUCCUGCUGGCGGCUGCGGCUCUCUGGUUUGCACUUAGACAUGCAAGUCUUCCGAAAGGAGGCGUACUGCUCAGUAACACGUAGCUAACAUACCCUUAGGUCAGGGAUACCCUCGGGAAACUGAGGUUAAUACCUGAUAGGAGAUAUACCCUGGAAAGAUUUAUCUCUCAAAUUCGAGCCUAAGGAUUGGGCUGCGGUGGAUUAGGUAGUUGGCGGGGUAAAUGCCCACCAAGCCUGUGAUCCAUAAGGGCUCUUAGCGGAGAGGCCCUGAGAGGGAAUCUGAGACACUAUUCCCAGCCCUACGGGGUGCAGCAGUUAGGAAUCAUCUUCAAUGCGCGCAAGCGUGAAAGUUUGAGCCAGAGUGUCCCUCAUUGAGGGACUUUUGCCAAAUGUAAAAAGUUUGGCGAAUAAGGACUGGGCAAGACUAGUGCCAGCCGCCGCGGUAAUACUAGCUGUUCGAGUCGCAGCCACAAUUAUUGGGUCUAGAACAUCCGUAGCUUGCUUGAUAAGUUCCUUGUGAAAUCCUGUCUCUCAAGGGCAGGGCGCGCAAGGAGUACUGUUGAGCUAGAGACUGGGAGACGUGAGAAGUACGUUUAAAGUAGUGGUAAAAUACGUUAAUCUUAAGCGGACUAACAACAGCGAAGGCAUCUCACGAGAACAGUUCUGACAGUAAGGGAUGAAGGCUAGGAGCGCAAAACGGAUUAGAUACCCGUGUAGUCCUAGCAGUAAACACUGCACACUAAACAUUGGUGCCUCCUCGAGAGGCGUCAGUGCUGAAGGGAAGCCGANNNNNNNNNNNNNNNNNNNNNNNNNNNNNNNNNNNNNNNNNNNNNNNNNNUGGCGGGGAGACACUACAACGGGUGACGCGUGCGGUUCAAUUAGAUUCUACACCGUGAACCUUACCAGGACCGACAGCAGGAUGAAGGCCAGUCUAAAGGGCUUGCCUGACACGCUGAGAGGAGUUGCAUGGCCGACGUCAGCCUGUGCCGUGAGGUGACCUGUUAAAUCAGGUAACAGGCAAGACCCGCAUGCAUAUUUACUACUUGUACAAUAUGCAGAUUGCCUUGGUAACAAGGAUGAAAGUGCGGGCUACGUUAGGUGGGUACAGCCCGACAGCCCUGGGUUACACGCGCGCGUCAAUGGCGGAUACAAUGAGAUGCAACACCGAAAGGUGAAGCCAAUCCCUUAAAAUCCGUCUCAGUCCAGAUUGAGGUUUGUAACUCAACCUCAUGACGCUGGAAUCCGUAGUAAUCGGAUUUUAUCAGAGUCCGGUGAAUAUGUCCCUGUCUCUUGCACACACUGCCCGUCAAACCAACCGAGUUAUAUCAUGGUGAAACUCUUACGAGGAGAACCUUAAUAUGACAAGGUAGGUUAAGUCGUCACAAGGUAACUGUAGGGGAACCUGCAGUUGGAUCACCUCCUA
rnacentral:rRNA from 1 species